rnacentral:rRNA from 1 species
CCUACGGGGGGCAGCAGUGAGGAAUAUUCGUCAAUGGACGAGAGUCUGAACCAGCCAAGCAGCGUGAAGGAUGACUGUCCUAUGGGUUGUAAACUUCUUUUAUAAAGAAAUACAACGAGGCACGUGUGCCUUUCUGCAUGUACUUUAUGCAUAAGGAUCGGCUAACUCCGUGCCAGCACCCGCGGUAAUACGGAGGAUCCGAGCGGUAUCCGGAUUUAUUGGGUUUAAAGGGAGCGUAGAUGGGUUGUUAAGUCAGUUGUGAAAGUUUGCGGCUCAACCGUAAAAUUGCAAUUGAUACUGGCAGUCUUGAGUACAGUUGAGGUAGGCGGAAUUCGUGGUGUAGCGGUGAAAUGCUUAGAUAUCACGAAGAACCCCGAUUGCGAAGGCAGCUUACUAAACUGUGACUGACAUUGAUGCUCGAAAGUGUGGGUAUCAAACAGGAUUAGAUACCCCUGUAGUC